rnacentral:rRNA from 1 species
UACGGGGGGGGCAAGCGUUGUUCGGAAUUACUGGGCGUAAAGGGCUCGUAGGCGGCCAACUAAGUCAGACGUGAAAUCCCUCGGCUUAACCGGGGAACUGCGUCUGAUACUGGAUGGCUUGAGGUUGGGAGAGGGAUGCGGAAUUCCAGGUGUAGCGGUGAAAUGCGUAGAGAUGUGGAGGAACACCAGUGGCGAAGGCGACUCUUUGGCCUGUAACUGACGCUGAGGCGCGAAAGCGUGGGGAGCAAACAGG